rnacentral:rRNA from 1 species
GACGAACGCUGGCGGCGGGCUUAACACAUGCAAGUCGAACGGAAAGGCCCUGCUUUUGUGGGGUGCUCGAGUGGCGAACGGGUGAGUAACACGUGAGUAACCUGCCCUUGACUUUGGGAUAACUUCAGGAAACUGGGGCUAAUACCGUAUAGGAGCUCCUGCUGCAUGGUGGGGGUGGGAAAGUUUCGGCGGUUGGGGAUGGACUCGCGGCUUAUCAGCUUGUUGGUGGGGUAGUGGCUUACCAAGGCUUUGACGGGUAGCCGGCCUGAGAGGGUGACCGGCCACAUUGGGACUGAGAUACGGCCCAGACUCCUACGGGAGGCAGCAGUGGGGAAUAUUGCACCAUGGGCGGAAGCCUGAUGCAGCAACGCCGCGUGCGGGAUGACGGCCUUCGGGUUGUAAACCGCUUUCGCCUGUGACGAAGCGUGAGUGACGGUAAUGGGUAAAGAAGCCACGGCUAACUACGUG